UUAAUUGAAGCCAAAAUAGAGGUAAAUUAUUGUUAAUAAUUAAAUUGAAGUUAAAUUCCAAUUGAA
rnacentral:tRNA from 1 species